rnacentral:rRNA from 1 species
AGUGAACGCUGGCGGUAGGCCUAACACAUGCAAGUCGAACGACUGGCGGGUGGGUGAGGAAUACAUCGCAAUCUACUCUGCCGUGGGGGAUAACGUCGGGAAACUUACGCUAAUACCGCAUACGAUUGACUGAGCCGAUGUCGGAUUAGCAAGUUGGCGGGGUAACGGCCCACCAAGGCGACGAUCCCUAGCUGGUCUGAGAGGAUGAUCAGCCACACUGGAACUGCGAAACGGUCCAGACUCCUACGCGAGGCAGCAGUGGGGAAUAUUGGAGAAGGGGCGAAAGCGUGAGCCAGCAAUGCGGCUGGGGUAAAGAAGGGUUUCGGAUGGUAAGGCCCUUUUGUUGGGAAAGCGGUACCAAAAGAGUAAGCACCGGCUAACUUCGUGCCAGCCGCCGCGGUAAUUC